rnacentral:rRNA from 1 species
AUUGAACGCUGGCGGCAUGCCUUACACAUGCAAGUCGAACGGUAACAGGUCUUCGGAUGCUGACGAGUGGCGAACGGGUGAGUAAUACAUCGGAACGUGCCUAGUAGUGGGGGAUAACUACUCGAAAGAGUGGCUAAUACCGCAUGAGAUCUACGGAUGAAAGCAGGGGAUCGCAAGACCUUGUGCUACUAGAGCGGCCGAUGGCAGAUUAGGUAGUUGGUGGGAUAAAAGCUUACCAAGCCGACGAGCUGUAGCUGGUCUGAGAGGACGAUCGGCCACACGGGGACGUAGAAACGGCCCAGACUCCUACGGGAGGCAGCAGUGGGGAAUUGUGGACAAUGGGCGAAAGCCUGUUCCAGCAAUGCCGCGUGCAGGAUGAAGGCCUUCGGGUUGUAAACUGCUUUUGUACGGAACGAAAAGCCCUGGGUUAAUACCCUGGGGUCAUGACGGUACCGUAAGAAUAAGCACCGGCUAACUACGUGCCAGCCGCCGCCGUAA